GAUGAACGCUAGCGGCAGGCUUAAUACAUGCAAGUCGAGGGGCAGCACAGGGUAGCAAUACCUGGGUGGCGACCGGCAAACGGGUGCGGAACACGUACAGAACCUACCUUCGAGCGGGGGAUAGCCCAGAGAAAUUUGGAUUAAUACCCUAUAGUAUAAUGGAGUGGCAUCACUUUGUUAUUAAACAUUUAUCACUUUAAGAUGGCUGUGCGUAUGAUUAGGUAGUUGGCGGGGUAACGGCCCACCAAGCCUACGAUCAUUAACUGGUGUGAGAGCACGACCAGUCACACGGGCACUGAGACACGGGCCCGACUCCUACGGGAGGCAGCAGUAAGGAAUAUUGGUCAAUGGACGCAAGUCUGAACCAGCCAUGCCGCGUGGAGGAUGAAGGUCCUCUGGACUGUAAACCUCUUUUAUCUGGGACGAAAAAAGGGAAUUCUUUCUCGUCUGACGGUACCAGAUGAAUAAGCACCGGCUAACUCCGUGCCAGCCGCCGCCGUAAUAC
rnacentral:rRNA from 1 species